rnacentral:rRNA from 1 species
CAGCAGCCACGGUAAUACAGAGGGUGCAAGCGUUAAUCGGAUUUACUGGGCGUAAAGGGCGCGUAGGUGGUUAUGUAAGUGAGAUGUGAAAUCCCCGGGCUCAACCUGGGAACUGCAUCUUAUACUGCGUAGCUGGAGUGCAGUAGAGGGUAGUGGAAUUUCCGGUGUAGCGGUGAAAUGCGUAGAUAUCGGAAGGAACACCAGUGGCGAAGGCGGCUACCUGGACUAACACUGACACUGAGGCGCGAAAGCGUGGGGAGCAAACAGGAUUAGAGACCCCUGUAGUCCCGUCUCUUAUACA